UCAAUAAAAAAAAUGAUUCCCUGAACCUCGAUCAAUCCAUCCCAGAUUGACCUUUCUCCUCCCCAAAAAAUCGAGCUCAUCUCCCCCUCCUCCCAUCUUCCGGUCUCCCUCACGGCGUCACCCUCUUCCCUCUUAACCUUCUUCCCUCUUAGCCCUCUACCGGCUACCACCACCGGUAAGCUACAUUGCCGUCCUUCACGCCCUGAAAAUUCCUAACCAUGUUCUUCACGACAGAAAAAUCUUCAUCCACACAUCCCCCCUCCUCUUAUCACCGAUGGCCAUCAAUUGAAGUGUCAAUCCUUAAUUUCAAGUAUGUGGGAGCAUCAAGCCUCAAUUUCAAGUAUAAGUAGAAGCAAAAAAACAAGCGAUGGAUGCAAGUGAGAGAUUGGAUGGCCAAUUUAGUCCCCAUUUUCAUUCAAAGUACACAUGGUUCAUAUAUUCUUUUCCAUCUUCAAUUUGAUGUAGUUACAAUAUAGAUGUUUAUUAUUAGAUUACUUGAAUAAUUAUGCAAAAUCUUCAGAAAAUUAUAUUGAUUUUUUGUCAAAUAUCUUAUAAAAAGGUCGUGUGGACCCAAAUCAAUACUAUCAGUUUCCAUAAAACUAUUUUUGGAAGGGAAUAUAUGUUUUCUGCUAGUAAGUUAACGAGUAUCUACACCUCCCAUGAAUGCAAAUAUGAUUAUGCAUCAAAGCAUGGAGCCAAAGAUGGUCUUUUUAUCCUUAUACUUGUAUGGUUGGUCCAUAUUGUAACAAAAAGUAAGAAAUUAAAAAUACACUUGUAAUACUGUUUUAUUGUUACAAUGAUAUGGCUUAUCGAUAGUGCAGAUACUAAUAUUUUUUUUUCUUAUGUUUAGUGAGACUAAAUUAAUCAUUAUACGGUGUUAAGAGUUUUGGAUAAAUAUAUUUGUCGACGAAGGAACGGUGGACACCUUGUAUUGUUUUGGGUCGUGAGAACAUCAAAUAUCCAAAUGCAAAUUGGAAAUCAAAGAGCUCUGGUAACAAGGUGGAAAAUGAGGCUGACUUAUCACUAAGAUCUCAUCUACAUGAAAUUCUGGUAGAAAGAGAGCUAAUGAAGCCGACCCCAAAAUUAAAGUAAAAAAAUUAGUAGGGUGUUAUUUCUUUAGGAAUUAGGAAGUUGUCUCAUAAGUGGAGUGUUAUUUUGGUGGUGGUGUUGCUGUCUUGUCAAAGUAAAGUGUUAUUUUAGAAUUUAAUUUUGUUUAUAUUGUAACUUUCCCAGCAUCAUGCUGGUUUUUCUAUUUAAUGCAUUUGGUAACAUGUUGGAUA